rnacentral:rRNA from 1 species
AUGUACUACAUGAUGCAAAUGGAGGUCGUCUACCUCGGCCUAGCUCUCGUGUCCUUAUGUAUUGUGCUUCUUUCAGGGCGCAGGCGGAGGCUCUCGGCAGGGAACGAGCCACCGGGGCCAUGGCAGCUGCCGGUGCUCGGCAGCCUGCACCACCUCGCCGGGCAGCUGCCCCACCGCGCGAUGCGAAACCUGGCACGGCGCCACGGGCCGGUUAUGCUGCUCUGGCUCGGCGAGGUGCCCACGCUAGUGGUGUCGUCCCGGGAGGGCGCCCGCGAGGUGAUGAAGACCCACGAUGUGGCGUUCGCGACGCGGCCCCUGAACGCCACCAUGCGCGUGCUCACCAACGGCGGGCGGGGCAUUGCGUUCGCGCCCUAUGGCGACUACUGGCGUGAGAUCAAGAAGAUCGUCGUCUCGAAGCUCCUCUCGGCGCGGCGCGUCCUGUCUUUCCGCGCCAUCAGGGAGGAGGAGGUCGCCGCCAUGCUCCGCGACGUCGCCCAGGCCGCGGCGGCCAGACGCCCCGUGGAGCUAAGCAGGCGCAUCUCCGCGCUAGUCACCGACAUCACGGUCCGCUCUGUCAUGGGCGACCGGUUCAAGGAACGCGACGAGUUCCUCCGCUCGCUCGACCGCGGUGCCAAGUUCGCGUCGGGGUUCAACCCCCCGGACCUGUGGCCGUCGUCCCGGCUGGUGGGUUGGCUCAGUGGGACCCUGCGCCGCGCCAAGGAUUUCUGCCAUGUCGGGAACGGCAUCCUCGACAACAUCAUCCGGGAGAAAAUGGAAGGUGGAGGAGGAGGCGAGAACGAGGACUUGCUCCACGUGCUGCUAAGCAUACAAAAGGAGAAUGAGGGCAGUCUCCAGUUCCCACUGGACAUGGACGCCGUCAAAUCCGUCAUCUUCGACGUGUUCGCCGGCGGCAGUGAGACAGCGUCGACGACAUUGGGCUGGGCGAUCGCAGAGUUGAUCAGGAACCCAAUGGUGAUGCAGAAGGUGACGGCCGAGGUCCGGCGAACAUUUGAGGCUCACGGCACCGUAGCGGAGCAUGCCCUCGGGGAACUACCGUACAUGCACCUAGUCAUCCGGGAAACGUUGAGGUUGCACACGCCCUUGCCGCUACUCAUCCCACGAGAGUGUCGGGAGUCAUGCCAAGUGCUCGGGUACGACGUGCCGCGGGGAACACAGGUGCUGAUCAAUGCCUGGGCGUUGGGCCGUGACGAGCGCUACUGGCCAGAUGAGCCGGAGAUGUUCCGCCCUGAGCGCUUCCUAGGCAAGGCAGGCACAGAUGACUUUAUGGGUACCGACUUCUCAUUUCUUCCAUUUGGCGCUGGCCGGAGGAUGUGCCCGGGGAUAGCGUUUGGCCUCGGCAACAUUGAGCUCGCCCUGGCGAGUCUACUAUUCCACUUUGACUGGGAGGGUCCACCACAGGAUGAGUUAGAUAUGGCCGAGGUGUUAGGCAUCACUGUGCGGCGGAAGGCCGACCUCCUGCUGCGCCCUAUCCUCUGGGUGCCUGUUCUCGGAGUCUUGUCAGAAGGCAACAAAGAUCAUUAG